rnacentral:rRNA from 1 species
UACGGAGGGUGCAAGCGUUAAUCGGAAUUACUGGGCGUAAAGCGCACGCAGGCGGUUUGUUAAGUCAGUUGUGAAAUCUCCGGGCUCAACCUGGGAACUGCAUCUGAUACUGGCAAGCUUGAGUCUGGUAGAGGGGGGUAGAAUUCCAGGUGUAGCGGUGAAAUGCGUAGAGAUCUGGAGGAAUACCGGUGGCGAAGGCGGCCCCCUGGAAGAAGACUGACGCUCAGGUGCGAAAGCUUGGGGAGCAAACAGG